CUACGGGGCGCUGCAGUGAGGAAUAUUGGUCAAUGGGCGCAAGCCUGAACCAGCCAUGCCGCGUGAAGGAUGAAGGCCUUAUGGGUUGUAAACUUCUUUUAUACGGGAAUAAACUUAGCUAUGUAUAGCUAACUGCAGGUACCGUAAGAAUAAGCACCGGCUAACUCCGUGCCAGCAGCCGCGGUAAUACGGAGGGUGCAGGCGUUAUCCGGAUUUAUUGGGUUUAAAGGGUCCGCAGGCGGACUAAUAAGUCAGUGGUGAAAUCUCUCGGCUCAACCGAGAAACUGCCAUUGAUACUGUUAGUCUAGAGUGUAGUUGGCGUAGGCGGAAUGUAUCAUGUAGCGGUGAAAUGCUUAGAUAUGAUACAGAACACCGAUCGCGAAGGCAGCUUACGAAACUACAACUGACGCUCAGGGACGAAAGCGUGGGGAGCGAACAGGAUUAGAUACCCGCGUAGUC
rnacentral:rRNA from 1 species